AAGCAGCACCAGCUCGCAGCACGACUCCUUCCCAAGCUGCCGCUCUGCUUCAGCCGCGGCGAGACGAUUUGUAUACAGUCAAUUUUACUAACCAGCCUCUCGCUGUACCGCCUUUUAAAUCGCCGGGUCCCAGCGCGCAUGCGUGGAUGGUGUGUUGGGCGGAGUGAGGGGGAUUUGAUCUGGGAAAGUGUUUCUCUCCGCUCGAAGAUAGCGAGCACUGAGCAGCAGCACCACCAGGAUUUCUGGCCAACUCACUGAGUAACUAUCUUUACAGCCAUUACGAAGAUGCAGCAGCAGAUCCGAAUUUACUAGUGUGGAUAUACACUUAAAAGGGACAACUUCCCGAUCAGUCUGUCUGUAUGUAUACACAGGUUGUAGAUUUGAAGUUAAUUGUGAGCCCUUUUAAAUAUAUACCUAUACAAAUGUAACAUGUAAAAGGAGUCUUUGUGAUUAAAAAAAAAAUUUUUUUUUA